AGUGAACGCUGGCGGUAGGCCUAACACAUGCAAGUCGAACGGCAGCACAGGAGAGCUUGCUCUCUGGGUGGCGAGUGGCGGACGGGUGAGGAAUACAUCGGAAUCUACUCUGUCGUGGGGGAUAACGUAGGGAAACUUACGCUAAUACCGCAUACGACCUACGGGUGAAAGCAGGGGACCUUCGGGCCUUGCGCGAUUGAAUGAGCCGAUGUCGGAUUAGCUAGUUGGCGGGGUAAAGGCCCACCAGGGCGAGGAUCCGUAGCUGGUCUGAGAGGAGAAUCGGCCAAACAGGAACUGAGACACGGUCCAGACGCCUACGGGAGGCAGCAGUGGGGAAUAUUGGACAAUGGGCGCAAGCCUGAUCCAGCCAUACCGCGUGGGUGAAGAAGGCCUUCGGGUUGUAAAGCCCUUUUGUUGGGAAAGAAAUCCAGCUGGCUAAUACCCGGUUGGGAUGACGGUACCCAAAGAAUAAGCACCGGCUAACUUCGUGCCAGCCGCCGCAGUAA
rnacentral:rRNA from 1 species